ACUCCUACGGGAGGCAGCAGUAGGGAAUCUUCCACAAUGGGCGCAAGCCUGAUGGAGCAACACCGCGUGAGUGAAGAAGGGUUUCGGCUCGUAAAGCUCUGUUGUUAAAGAAGAACACGUAUGAGAGUAACUGUUCAUACGUUGACGGUAUUUAACCAGAAAGUCACGGCUAACUACGUGCCAGCAGCCGCGGUAAUACGUAGGUGGCAAGCGUUAUCCGGAUUUAUUGGGCGUAAAGAGAGUGCAGGCGGUUUUCUAAGUCUGAUGUGAAAGCCUUCGGCUUAACCGGAGAAGUGCAUCGGAAACUGGAUAACUUGAGUGCAGAAGAGGGUAGUGGAACUCCAUGUGUAGCGGUGGAAUGCGUAGAUAUAUGGAAGAACACCAGUGGCGAAGGCGGCUACCUGGUCUGCAACUGACGCUGAGACUCGAAAGCAUGGGUAGCGAACAGGAUUAGAUACCCUGGUAGGCUACCG
rnacentral:rRNA from 1 species